CGGCCUAUUAUGUAUAUUUAUUCCAAACAUAACCUUAUAAACAAACAGUUGUUUAUUUAGAGUUAUUUAUUAUUGUUUUCUCAUAUUUUGCAAUUGUUAAGUUGGUUUACUUCGAAUUUAAUGUGCAUUACUGUGGUAUUUCUCCAGUUUUCUAAGAAGGUUGGUGAUUUUGAAUUGGGAUUAUGAUGAAUUUAACCCAAAGGCAAUGUGUGCGUUUAUUUAUGUGGCAAAAUUCCAGGCACCAUAAAAAUUUGAGUUUCUUCCUGUUGCCCAUGGAUGAAAAUCGGUUUGCAGAAUGAAAAGAAAUUGUUCAAUGUGAUAAACUUUCUAUGAACAGUCCUCAGUGUUGUUACAUUAACUUUUAAAUAUGCAUCUUGAGGAGCAGGCCUUUGCAGAAAUACUGAAAAGCGGGUUGCAAAACAACGCAAAAUAAAAUAAACGAAAUAUGUCUUGAGAUUAAACAUUCAAGUUGAAGGUGUGUUCUUUCUUAAACUGGAAUGAUAAUUUUGUAAUUCUGUAGGCACAUCUAUUGAGAAGUUACAACCAGUGGCAAAGUGCCUUAAGGGAAUCUAUGACAUAUAUAAUUGAAGGUAUGAGUAUAUGUUUCAAAUCGUUGGAUGAUUCUGAGAAAGUGUAAAUUUUUUUCAUGAAUUUGGUACAUAACCGUCUUUAUCUAAACUCUAAAAAUCAUUGACAUCUGUUUUGAAGAACCAUGUUCCUAGAAACCAUUGAUAACAAAUAUAGACGGUUACCUCUGCAUUCGUUGUAUCAUCUUACUACUCUAUCCAUAGUGAGUCUAAUUUUUAAAUCUAUAAUAAUUGUUUACGUGCUGGUUUCAUAAAGAUGCUUCAAAAAUCUAUAUGGGCCUUACCAGGCAGCACAGCCAUGCCUUUAAUAGUUUUCCAAUUAUAUUUUCAAUAUGCUUAUUCUAGUUAAGAUUGCGGGACAAAAAGACCACUAAAUAUUUGAGUUCAUUUUUAGGUAUCAGCAUUGGCUCUACAGCCCAUGGUGGGUCUUGGCCUGUUCCAGAAUCAGCUUCCACUCUUUCCUAUCCUUUGCUUGGCUUUCCAAUUUCUCACUCGAGCAUGAAUUUUUGGUAUAUAUGGGAUUAUAUUGUGAUAACGACCAGAUCUAUGAAAGAAUAGUAUGUUGUUAAAGAAGAUUGUGGUGACACUAUUCAUGAAUAUCUGAUAAUAUUGGUUAAUGUGAAUGGAGUCCAAAAUGGGGUUUAGGCUGUUAUAUAAAAAACUAGGUCAUUAGCAUAUGGAAGUAGGGCGACAUUAUCUGGUAUUAAAUUAUGUGAAUGAGGAGAAUUAAACCUAAAAACUCUAUUUAUUCUGCUAAUCAAUAUGAAUUUAAUAUAUUUUAAUAUAAAACAUAUGUUAUUCUUUCUAGGGACACCUCCUCUGAAGGAAUUACAAUUAUUUGCCAGUAUGUCAAAUGAAUUUUCAACAUCAGUCAUACUUUCAUGAAUUUAUUGAUGAAAAUAAAACUAGGUACAUGAUUUAUUAUUUACUUCCAAGGGAUUCUAAGAUACUAUGUGUAAAAAGUCCAAUAUGCAGUGAUGAGCAUGCUAAUAACUGGCAAAAUAUGGGAUAUAACGCCAAAGAUGGGAAACAUGGGAUGCAUUCUGAAGUAAAAAGAGAUGAAACUGAGAGAAAUUAUCGAUAUAAACAUAUAAAUUAACAUUGCGUUACAUAGUUUCCCACCUUUAGACAUAUCAGAUGAGUAUGAGAACUGUCACUGUGCCAGGAGAAUUUUAUAAAAUACUCCUGUCACAGAGAUCUAAAGGUGGGAAACUAUGUAAUGUUAUCGUCGGCUAAGAGUGUUAACCUGCUAACUCUAUUUUUCACUGUGAGUGAUAUUGGGGUAGUUUCUAGGUCUGUGUACCUUCAUACCAUGUCCCACAAGCCCGCUGGUUCCACUGUAGUUUAGAGAUAGCUAUUUCUAAACUACAUUGGUGUCGGCGGGUUUGUGUGGUGGUGUAUGAAAAUACACGGACCCAGAAACUAGCCCAAUAUCACUCAAAGUGAAAAAUGGAGGUUAAAACUCUUAUCCAAGGUUAUGUUAAUUUAUUCGUUUAUAACGAUAAGUUCCACUUCUACCAGUUUCAUCUCUUUUUAUCUCACAAGUUAAUAUGUUUUCCAUCUUUUGCGUUAUUUUGCCGGUUAUUAGUGUGAGUGCUCAUUACUGUAUAUUUACAAUUUUGUGAUUUCUCAAUAUGAUGCUGAGUAGGUAUAGAUCUGAGUAGGUAUAUAGUAGGUAUCUACAACCCUUUCAAAACAGAAAUUUAUAAGUUCAUUUUAUGUACCUAUUAAACUUUAUUUUAAGGAUGAAUUUGAAAUGCUUGUAGGGAAUAUAUCUGUAAAAAAUAAAAUUGGUAUUGUAAAAUUGAAAUUCUCAAAAUAUAAUUUAUAAUUCGAA